rnacentral:lncRNA from 1 species
UUGAGUCAGCAUAUCCCGGAUUUGGGGAAUUAGUCGUAAGUAUAUUGUGAAAUUCUAUCUCUUUUUAUAAGAAAAAGAAUGAAAUGAAGAGUAAAAUAUUUUGUCUAAAUAAUUCAUUUUCAUCCAAGCUCUGACCUUUGUCCCCCCACCCUUCCCAGCAUCCCUUGCAAUAUUAAAAUCGACUGUACUUUUUUGUAGUAUUAUAGCAGUUUAAGUGUUUGUUUUCCUGAUUUAGCUUCUAAUUUUUUAACAGGUAUUGGAGUCAACAGAUCAUAUAAAUUCUUGUAAGCCAGUGAGCCGCUC